ACGAACGCUGGCGGCGUGCUUAACACAUGCAAGUCGAACGGAAAGGCCCUGCUUUUGUGGGGUGCUCGAGUGGCGAACGGGUGAGUAACACGUGAGUAACCUGCCCUUGACUUUGGGAUAACUUCAGGAAACUGGGGCUAAUACCGGAUAGGAGCUCCUGCUGCAUGGUGGGGGUUGGAAAGUUUCGGCGGUUGGGGAUGGACUCGCGGCUUAUCAGCUUGUUGGUGGGGUAGUGGCUUACCAAGGCUUUGACGGGUAGCCGGCCUGAGAGGGUGACCGGCUACAUUGGGACUGAGAUACGGCCCAGACUCCUACGGGAGGCAGAAGUGGGGAAUAUUGCAAAAUGGGCGGAAGCCUGAUGCAGCAACGCCGCGUGCGGGAUGACGGCCUUCGGGUUGUAAACCGCUUUCGCCUGUGACGAAGCGUGAGUGACGGUAAUGGGUAAAGAAGCACCGGCUAACUACGUG
rnacentral:rRNA from 1 species